AUCCUACGGGAGGCAGCAGUGAGGAAUAUUGGUCAAUGGCCGAGAGGCUGAACCAGCCAAGUCGCGUGAGGGAUGACGGCCCUACGGGUUGUAAGCCUCUUUUGCCGGGGAGCAAAGAGCGGGACGCGUCCCGCCUCGAGAGUACCCGGAGAAAAAGCAUCGGCUAACUCCGUGCCAGCAGCCGCGGUAAUACGGAGGAUGCGAGCGUUAUCCGGAUUCAUUGGGCGUAAAGCGCGCGUAGGCGGCCUGUUAGGUCGGGGGUCAAAUACCGGGGCUCAACCCCGGUCCGCCCCCGAUACCGGCAG
rnacentral:rRNA from 1 species